GGGCCUGUGGCGCAGUCCGGUAGCGCACUUGUCUGGCAGACAAGGGGCCACGGGUUCAAAUCCCGUCAGGUCCA
rnacentral:tRNA from 1 species